rnacentral:rRNA from 1 species
UACAGAGGUCCCAAGCGUUGUUCGGAUUCAUUGGGCGUAAAGGGUGCGUAGGUGGCGCCGUAAGUGGGGUGUGAAAUUUCGGAGCUUAACUCCGAAACUGCAUUCCAUACUGCGGUGCUUGAGGACUGGAGAGGAGACUGGAAUUUACGGUGUAGCAGUGAAAUGCGUAGAGAUCGUAAGGAAGACCAGUGGCGAAGGCGGGUCUCUGGACAACUCCUGACACUGAGGCACGAAAGCUAGGGGAGCAAACAGG